AUGGACGGCGGCUACCGCUCCAAGUCGUACGCCAGCGGCCGCAUGCAGAUCGAGGCCUAUACAGGCGGCGCGCGGCCGGACUUCCGGUCCUUGUCCUACGGCGGCGGCGGGGCGUCGUACCAGUACCAGUACGAGUACGGCUCCGGAGCAGGGCAGGUGACGACGGUGGUGGAGGAGGAGGUGAAGAGGAGCAAGUCUAAGCGGCGGUGGCUGGCGCUGGGUGACCCGGACAUGGAGCGGAAGCGGCGGGUGGCGGCGUACAAGGCCUACGCCAUGGAGGGCAAGGUGAAGGGAUCCUUCCGCAAGAGCUUCAGAUGGAUCAAGGACCGCUAUCUGCACCUCGUCUACGGCGUGUCCUAG
rnacentral:rRNA from 1 species